CUCUCUCUCUCUCUCUCCACCGUUAGCUUUUUCCUCGGAAACCCUAAGCUAUCUUCACUGUUACAGAGCCGCUCGCUGUGACACCAAAUCGUUCAAAGGUUCUUACUCUCCAAUUCAAGAGCUUCCUAUUCAGCCGCAAAAUCGGAGGUAGUGAAAUUGAAGGCAGUGGCGGCGGAGAUGACAGUUUUUGGUUCUCUGAUUGGCCGCAAGUAUCGUCUCGUGUUGGGUAACGAUCGUGAUGUACUUCAGAUGUCUUCCAUAGAUCCAGGAUCUUCUUCUUCCUCAGCGUUUCCAGAUCAACCUCAUAAUCUCAGUUGGUUGCAGAGUUUACGGGGAUAUUCGGCUCUGAUUGACGUUCCAGUUAAUGCUUCCUUUAGCUAUUGCAGUAGUAGCAUUUUUGUAUCCCUCCAACUAUACUCACUCAAGAUAUUGGUUUUCAUCAAUAGAUUAGAAGAUGUUAAAGAUCAGCUUGAAGAGUUGGAGAAAAGAGUUGAAAUUUCCAAAGGUGGUAAAAUUGUUAACAUAACUUCAUGAGCUCAGAAAUUUCAAGAGGUGUUAGGCUUCGUUUCUUUUGAAUUUUGUAGCCAGGAGAUUUGGAAAAGGUACAGCUUGGUCUCUGCCACAGUUACAGCAGAACAAAAGUGUCUCGUUCCCAGACGCACUUCGCCUCAUCAAUUCCUCUGACUCGUCGAAAUGUGUUGCGUACGCGUAGCAGCAGAAUCAUUGUUUUCGUUCUGUAUUCUUCUCUUGCUAAAGACUGUGAUGAUCAUAUUGGUUGGGCUACCGAAGCGUUUGGUUCGGAGCCUGAAGCUGUUAAUCUUUGGAUUGGUAACCGUUAUUCGGAUACUUCUUUUCAUAAGGAUCACUAUGAGAAUCUCUAUGUGAAGACUAUUUGACUUUUUGGGCCGAGGUUUUGGCUUUUGGAGUUUAAUUCAUUUGGGGUUUUGUGGAUUUUUGAUGCUGUAGGAAACUGGAGAGUUUGAUUUGGAACUUGACAAGCCGACUAGAUGGCCUGAAAACAAUUGAGGGGAGGUGUGCCACUGCCAAAUACAACAGGACAAAUUUUGAGUAGUUAUGUGGAAGAAAGUGAUUUUGAACAAGAAAAUGCUGGAGAAUCAAGUGGUAUUGUUGAUGAUGAAGUAAUAGAGAACAAAGAUAACAAUGAACCACCAAUGGUUCAGGUUCCGCUGCAGCCACUUCCCAUUGAUUUAAUAGGAAAUACAUUGAAGGUUGGAAUGAAGUCAAGGAAAAAUGAAAAACUAGCGUUAACAUGGCAAGUGAUGGAAUACAACCUAGAGUUAUUUGUUAAUAUGGCAAUGUUUCAAACAGAUAGGGAGAGAAAUCGUGAGAUUGAAAUGAUGAAUAAAACUGCUGAGGCGUCCUCUGAUUUAACUUUGUAGCAGAUUUUAUAGUAACUUGUUCUAUAAAUUUGCAUUAUAAUUCAAAAUAUUUUAAAUUAUAAUUUUAUUUUUA